rnacentral:rRNA from 1 species
AGAUUGAACGCUAGCGGGAUGCUUUACACAUGCAAGUCGAACGGCAGCGCGGACUUCGGUCUGGCGGCGAGUGGCGAACGGGGUGAGUAAUAUAUCGGAACGUGCCCAGUUGCGGGGGAUAACUACGCGAAAGCGUGGCUAAUACCGCAUACGCCCUACGGGGGAAAGGGGGGGAUCGCAAGACCUCUCACUAUUGGAGCGGCCGAUAUCCGAUUAGCUAGUUGGUGAGGUAAAGGCUCACCAAGGCGACGAUCUGUAGCUGGUUUGAGAGGACGACCAGCCACACUGGGACUGAGACACGGCCCAGACUCCUACGGGAGGCAGCAGGUGGGGUAAUUUGGACAAGUAGGGGGAAACCCUGGACUCCAAGGCCCAGUCCCGCGUGUCGCGAGUGGAAGGUCCUUAGGGUUAGUAAGUCGUACGUUUGGUACGAGGGAACGAAACCGGU